rnacentral:misc_RNA from 1 species
CCGAGUUCGUACCCUCUGGGGUACAUCUCCCACCCACUGCUAUCACUACGAUUGUUGCUUUGGCGGGCCGUCGGCCCGCCAGAGGCCCUACCGACCCUGAUUGUCAGUGCCGUCUGAGUGCUAUACAAUAGUCA